rnacentral:rRNA from 1 species
UACGUAGGGGGCAAGCGUUGUCCGGAUUUACUGGGCGUAAAGCGCGCGUAGGCGGAAUGGUAAGCGGGGCCGGAAAGCCCCCGGCUCAACCGGGGAAGAGGCCGUGAACUGCCAUUCUUGAGGGGGGGAGAGGAGAGCGGAAUUCCUGGUGUAGCGGUGAAAUGCGCAGAUAUCAGGAAGAACACCCGUGGCGAAAGCGGCUCUCUGGAACGGUACUGACGCUGAGACGCGAAAGCGUGGGGAGCGAACAGG